AUAUAAUAUAAGCUAAUUUAAUCACUUUUAAUACCUAAUUAUUAAGUGAAGAAAAGGAAAGGAAAAGAAAGAUAUAAAGAGUAUAAACCUAAACUCAUCCUUACGGGGAUAUGGAGCCGCCGACAAGAACAAUUGCCCAGAGGAGUUAAUUUCCGUGAAAGUUCGUGGCAUAAAUGGUGAUGUAAAGGAAUUGGGUGUUGGGUUGUUGUUAGUCAGCCACUGGUUUCGUAAGCAGUGACUUCCAUAUUUAUAUAUUAAUAUUUUUUCGCAUUAUAAUUUAUAUGUUUAUAUAUUAAGAUAGGAUUUUAAAUAUUCUAUGUAUUUAAUUAUUUAAAUUUUAUUAAAGUUAUGCUAAGUGGAGGGGUUAAUACUUACCCAUAAGCUUGAACUUUAGGAAA